rnacentral:misc_RNA from 1 species
ACUCCUCGUUGAAUCGAAAGCUAUUGAGGAGUCUUCUACACAAAGAAACCUUGAAUUUGAAGGCUUAGUUCUGUCAUCCAAGGCAGCAGAAGAGGAAGUGAAAGAACAGCUGAAAGAGACUGAGAAGCAGUUAGCAGCUGCUGAAAAUCAGAAUAUGGAGAUCGAGAAGCAGUUGUCCCUUGCAGAGCUAAAAUGCGCCGAUGCAGGUAAAGAAAUAAAAGUACUCCAUGAGAAAACAUCAGAGCUCACCUCAUUACUG